UAUAGCUUUAUAGAUAAAACAUCAAAUAAAUUAGCAUAGCUUUCUCUCUCUUCUCUCUCUCGUAUCAUUUAGAGAGAGAAAGCUCAAUAGAAUUUGUUUUGUUGGAUCGUAUGAUUAGUAUCCAGCGUUUUCUUCCCAUGAGUCGGGUUAGUCUUUGGCAUCUCCUGCUUCUGUAGAGGAGAUGUUCACCUUAUCGUAUAGCACCGUUUUCAUCACUAUGGUGGCGUGUGGCUGGUUUUCCUUCUGAAUUCGGUGGUAUUGUAGAGAAUCUGUCGUCCAUCUCUCAGUGGUUCUUCGAUGCUUUAGGUUCAUGGUGGUUUCAUUCGAGAUGGUGAACCGUCUCUGGCUGUUCUUGACGAACAAGAUUGGGCUUGGGUCCUCUAUGCUUGCUCGAGCCUCCAUCGGAUUGCCUGAAAAUGAUGACUAUGUGAUUUGUGCGGUGGUUUACGGUGGUUUGGAGAUCGGUGAUGACUGGUGUUUGCAGAAGUCAAACUGGUGACUCCUUUCUCUUCUCGUCCCAUGUGUCCUCAACUUCGCUUCGGAUCGUGACACAUGGUUGUUGAGUUGGAUUUGGCAGCACUCUUUCCUUAUAUUUAGGUUUUAUGUUUGCUUAAUAAAAGCGAUAAAAGCUUGUUUUUUGGUUAAUCUCUAAUGGUUAACCAACCAGAAGUUACAGGUUAAUUGGAUUGCACUCAUAGCUCGGUCGGGUCGCGCGUUGAGCAUAAAAUUUCCUGGGAGUGGGGUUAAGUGAUAGAUUCAAUUUUUUUCUAAAUUUCUUGCAAAGCUUGUCUUAGUGUUUUUACUACUUUUGCUUUGUAAAUUUUGGCUUUGUCUUUUUGAAGAAAAUAAUAGUACUCCCGUGAAAAAAAAACAUCAAAUAAGAGAGAGAGUAGUAAAAGGAGCAUUUAUUGGUUUAUGUA